rnacentral:rRNA from 1 species
UGCCCGAAAGGGUGACGAUGCGACGCCGCGUGAGCGAAGAAGGCCCUAGGGUUGUAAAGCUCUGUCAGGGGUUAAGAAAUGUAGAUAGGUUAAUACCCUGUUUAUUUGACAAAAGCCCCAAAGGAAGCCACGGCUAACUCUGUGCCAGCAGCCGCGGUAAUACAGAGGUGGCAAGCGUUGUUCGGUAUUAUUGGGCGUAAAGAGCACGUAGGUGGUUUUGUAAGUCAGAUGUGAAAGCCUUCUGUUCAAAGGAAGAACGGCAUCUGAAACUGCAAAUCUUGAGUGUAGGAGGGGAGAGUGGAACUUCUGGUGGAGCGGUGAAAUGCGUAGAUAUCAGAAGGAACGUCGGCGGCGAAAGCGACUCUCUGGCCUAUUACUGACACUGAGUGUGCGAAAGUUAGGGGAGCAAACGGGAUUAGAUACCCCGGUAGUCCUAACCGUAAACGAUGGGCACUAAGUAGAGGGGU